UACGUAGGGGGCAAGCGUUGUCCGGAAUCAUUGGGCGUAAAGAGCGUGUAGGCGGUCCUGUAAGUCCGCUGUGAAAGUCCAGGGCUCAACCCUGGGAUGCCGGUGGAUACUGUCGGGCUCGAGUCCGGAAGAGGCGAGUGGAAUUCCUGGUGUAGCGGUGAAAUGCGCAGAUAUCAGGAGGAACACCAAUGGCGAAGGCAGCUCGCUGGGACGUGACUGACGCUGAGACGCGAAAGCGUGGGGAGCAAACAGG
rnacentral:rRNA from 1 species